GACGAACGCUGGCGGCGUGCUUAACACAUGCAAGUCGAACGGAAAGGCCCUGCUUUUGUGGGGUGCUCGAGUGGCGAACGGGUGAGUAACACGUGAGUAACCUGCCCUUGACUUUGGGAUAACUUCAGGAAACUGGGGCUAAUACCGGAUAGGAGCUCCUGCUGCAUGGUGGGGGUUGGAAAGUUUCGGCGGUUGGGGAUGGACUCGCGGCUUAUCAGCUUGUUGGUGGGGUAGUGGCUUACCAAGGCUUUGACGGGUAGCCGGCCUGAGAGGGCGACCGGCCACAAUGGGACUGAGAUACGGCCCAGAAUCCUACGGGAGGCAGCAGUGGGGAAUAUUGCACAAUGGGCGGAAGCCUGAUGCAGCAACGCCGCGUGCGGGAUGACGGCCUUCGGGUUGUAAACCGCUUUCGCCUGUGACGAGGCGUGAGUGACGGUAAUGGGUAAAGAAGCACCGGCUAACUACGUG
rnacentral:rRNA from 1 species